rnacentral:rRNA from 1 species
UUGACGGGGACCCGCACAAGCGUGGAUGAUGUGGUUUAAUUCGAUGCAACGCGAAAAACCUUACCCACCUUUGACAUGUACGGAACCCUUUAGAGAUAGAGGGGUGCUCGAAAGAGAGCCGUAACACAGGUGCUGCAUGGCUGUCGUCAGCUCGUGUCGUGAGAUGUUGGGUUAAGUCCCGCAACGAGCGCAACCCUUGUCAUUAGUUGCUACAUUCAGUUGGGCACUCUAAUGAGACUGCCGGUGACAAGCCGGAGGAAGGUGGGGAUGACGUCAAGUCCUCAUGGCCCUUAUAGGUGGGGCUACACACGUCAUACAAUGGCUGGUACAAAGGGUUGCCAACCCGCGAGGGGGAGCCAAUCCCAUAAAGCCAGUCGUAGUCCGGAUCGUAGUCUGCAACUCGACUACGUGAAGUCGGAAUCGCUAGUAAUCGUGGAUCAGAAUGUCACGGUGAAUACGUUCCCGGGUCUU